AACGAACGCUGGCGGCGUGUUUAAGACAUGCAAGUCGCACGGGAUCAUUUUGGUAGCAAUACUCGGAUGGUCCAGUGGCGCACGGGUGAGUAACACGUGAAUGACAUGCCCUUCAGUGGGGGAUAGCCCAGGGAAACUUGGAUUAAUACCCCAUGGUCUCGCGAGAGUAAAGGUGGCGCAAGCUGCCGCUGGAGGAUUGGUUCGCGUUCUAUCAGCUUGUUGGCGGGGUAACGGCCCACCAAGGCUACGACGGAUACCUGGUCUGAGAGGACGAUCAGGCACACUGGAACUGAGACACGGUCCAGACACCUACGGGUGGCAGCAGUCGAGAAUAAUUCACAAUGGGGGCAACCCUGAUGGUGCAACGCCGCGUGGAGGAUGAAGGUCUUCGGAUUGUAAACUCCUGUCAUCCGGGAGCAAGACCUGACGGUGAAUAGCCGGCAGGGUUGAUAGUACCGGAAGAGGAAGGGACGGCUAACUUCGUGCCAGCAGCCGCAGUAAAAC
rnacentral:rRNA from 1 species